rnacentral:misc_RNA from 1 species
AAGUCGUGACAAGGUUUCCGUUGGUGAACCUGCGGAAGGAUCAUUAUAAGAAUCUCGCUGAGUCUGAGGCCCGACAGUGCGUCUCUCUUUGAAAAACAGGAGGUCGUAUCUUAGCCAGUUUCCUUGAAAAACAGGAGGUGGCACCUCUCACAUCUUCGAACCAAACUGUGAACCCAACUUUUGCUUCGGCAGCGUGGCCGGCCCCACUCGGUGCCCCGCCCGUCAGCCUGCCGGAAGCCCCCAAAAACCACGUCAAGAAUUUGUCAGAAAGUGAUUACAUGAAAAACAAGUUAAAA